rnacentral:misc_RNA from 1 species
CUCCGUUUCAUAAUUUAAGUUAUUCCACCAUUUUCUACAUUCAUAUUGAUGUUAAUGAAUCUAGAUAGAUAUAUAUGUCUAGAUUCAUUAACAUCAAUAUGAAUGUGGGAAAUGAUAGAAUGACUUACAUUGUGAAACGG